UAGAGAAGUAGAACGGUGUGUGUGAUCAUGGCUGCUUAUCAGCUGCAGAUGGUAACCUAUGUUAUAUCUUUUGUUAUUAUGAAAUAAAUUGGUAAUUAAUACAUGUAGAUUUAAUAUCCACGGUCAACAGGCAGUCGUUUGUGCCUCGAAGUGUUCAACGUCACACAACCAACCUAAAAAGUUUAAACGUCGGGCCCAUUGCCCAUCCAGCAGCACCAUGCUCCUUCUGCUUUGCCCAUCACUGCUUUCUGGUUGCAAGAUCCUCAUCAUCAGUGUGACUCUGCAAGACAUGCCUCGACAUUUGUCUUCAAAAAACGCACAACCCACAGUAUAUUAUAUGAUGAGAUUUAUAAAUUCACAACAUCUGCAAUUUCAAACCCCUAGCAAGGAUGGAUGAAAACAGACUCCUUUUCUUGAUCAUACAUACAAUAAUUGGCAAUUUAUAAUCCAAAUAACCCUGGAUAAACUUGUAACCUGCUAUCACUGAAAGUGAUUAGUAGUAUUAAUAUUUUGAUUCAGUGACUAACACUAUACAACAAAUACAUUGUUGUUAAUAUUUUCUGAUGCUUAUUCAGAAUGAAAGAGUAUUAAUUUGUGAGGCAAUGGCAUUUAUUGUUAACCUUGUUCUAGAGUGAUUUGUGUUACUAGAAGGUACAGAAAUUAAAGAAAUAAAAAAAUCAUUGAUUAUAAAAUGUAUUCACUACACUUGGACUUUGGCAUAUUUGUUUUCAACAACAUUAAAUCAGUAGAAGUAA